GGCUCAAUGGUCUAGUCGUAUGAUUCCUGCUUUGGGUCUACCACAUUGCAGGAGGCCCCGGGUUCAAAUCCCGGUUGAGCCC
rnacentral:tRNA from 1 species